CGGAUUAAGACGCUUUAACAAUCAUGAGAGUUCGUAACUGACGUGCCGGAGCGAGACAUUUAGAUGCCCUGCUUGUUGGCGGAGGCGGAGGCGUCGUGCUUCUUCUCGUUGAGCUUGUCGCUGGUGGCGUCAAGAGCACCGGUGGCGCGGUCGGUGAGGGAGUCCUUGCCGGGGACGUUGCCCUUGGCCUGCUCCUUGUUGCCCUCCUUGGAGGCAGAGGCGGCGGCGCCCUGGACGGACUCGGCAACGUAGUUGGCGGCGUUGGAGAUGGAGUUGGUGACCUGACCGACGAUGCCCUCGUUGGGAGCGUUGGCGUUGGGAGCAGACAUGUUGAUGGUUUGGUGGUGGGGGUUGUUUGGAUUGAGUGUUGUGUUUGAG
rnacentral:misc_RNA from 1 species